AAACAGGAUCUUAAUCUCUAAGUAUGGAUGAGGUUCACUGAUAGAGUUUUAGGAAUUUUUAUUCCACAACAAAAGGAUAAUCCCCCUAAGCCGAGGCCCAACACGGCCCAUUAAUGGUACUCCACUAGCCCACUAGCUUCGCUCUUGGCUUCCGGCGAGAAGCUGGCGUGGCGAGCGACAGAGCGGCGGCGGCGGCCUCGCCGUUUGCCGUCGCUGUGCCCUGACUCGUCGUCGGGGCUGCCGCCAACCGUAAACACCUUUUCCCGAUUGCCAGAUAGUGAUUAUACCUAGAAAGAGCCUUGAGCUCCUUCAAGUGGAGUCGUUGCAGAAGGACAAAAUCCAGCUUGGCAAACUCCAGAAUGGAGGAGUUAGGUGUCGGCUCUCCUUUGUACUCUGAGAUAUAAUGUAGAGCCUCAAGUCUUCUUAAGGUCCGUGACAGUGGUAGGUGAAAGGCUCGGUUCACUUGUUGGGCCAAUGGGUAUUCAAGCUUGUUUCUCAUCGAUUCAAGAUGUGCCUCGUAAAUAAGAUAGCCUCUUCUAGUUCUGGCUCUCCAUGUGUGAAAAGACAAGAUUUCUAUGCCGUGAGCUGCUAUCUUUUUUAGAACUAGUAAGCAGGCAGAAUCAAGAAGCAUAUAUACAAAAUGCCAAAUGGCUAUAUCAGGAGUUUUCAUUAUGUACCAACUGGAGAUACCCAAAACCCUUGCUGCCUCAGUAGGCGAAACCGAAGGGCAACCUCAUGGAGACAAGUGCUGUUGAAUUCAGUAUCAUGGAUGCUACUUAAGAUGUCGAGAAUCUGUUUUUUGAAAUGAUGGUCUAUACUUAAAUGUUGGAGUGUGUCCACUA